CCCACGCAAAGCACGAGAAAAAGCAGCAGCCGGGGACUCGAGCCCAUGGGGCUGGUGCCACGACUUUCAAGACAGGAUUUUCCUUGGAUGUAGUCAAGUUAAGAUGAGAUCAUACUGGUAUAGGUUGGCCCUACUCCAGUACGACUGGUGUCCUUAUAUAAAAAAAAGGAGAAACAAAGACGCACACAGAGGAAAACACCAUGUGAAGACAGAGACAGAGAUUGGAAGGAUGCAUCUGUAAGCCAAAGGAUGUCUAGGGUGGCUGAUAACCACCAGAAACCAGGAAGAGGCCAGGAAGGAUCCUCCCCUAAAGCCUUCAGAGAGAGCAUGGAUCUGCCAACACAUGGAUCCUAUGGUAAAUGUGUGUUUCAUUUUGUAAGAAACUGCCAAGCUGUCUUCCAUAGUGGCUGUAUCACUUUGCAUUUCUGC